UACGGAGGGUGCAAGCGUUAUCCGGAUUCACUGGGUUUAAAGGGUGCGUAGGCGGGCAGAUAAGUCAGUGGUGAAAUCUCCGAGCUUAACUCGGAAACUGCCGUUGAUACUAUUUGUCUUGAAUACUGUGGAGGUAAGCGGAAUAUGUCAUGUAGCGGUGAAAUGCUUAGAUAUGACAUAGAACAUCUAUUGCGAAGGCAGCUAACUAAGCGUAUAUUGACGCUGAUGCACGAAAGCGUGGGGAUCAAACAGG
rnacentral:rRNA from 1 species